rnacentral:rRNA from 1 species
GACGAACGCUGGCGGCGUGCUUAACACAUGCAAGUCGAGCGGUAAGGCUCCUUCGGGAGUACACGAGCGGCGAACGGGUGAGUAACACGUGAGCAAUCUGCCCUUCUCUUCGGAAUAACCAUUGGAAACGAUGGCUAAUGCCGAAUAUGACCUCGGAUCACAUGUUCUGAGGUGGAAAGCUCCGGCGGAGAAGGAUGAGCUCGCGGCCUAUCAGCUUGUUGGGAGGUAAUGGCUCACCAAGGCAUUGACGGGUAGCCGGCCUGAGAGGGUGACCGGCCACACUGGGACUGAGACACGGCCCAGACUCCUACGGGAGGCAGCAGUGGGGAAUAUUGGACAAUGGGCGAAAGCCUGAUCCAGCAACGCCGCGUGAGGGAUGACGG